rnacentral:rRNA from 1 species
AUCUAUGGCCAUGCCACCCUGAACAUGCCUGAUCUCAUCUGAUCUCUGAAGCUAAGCAGGGUCGGGGCUGGUUAAUACUUGGAUGGGAGACUACCUAGGAAUACCAGGUGCUGUAGGCU